CUGGAACGCGACCACGGAUUCUUUACAGCAUGCGCCAUUAGAUGAGCGCGGGGAACAAGACGCAGCAACAGUAUUUUCGAACUCGCGUACAUUUUUCUCAGCACAUCAAGGUUAUUUAAAUUGUCUGUUAACACACCUUCUACUGCUUUGGGGUAUCAAAACCACAUUUGAAGUUACAUGUAGCUAUUGUUUGUUUGCUAUUAGCAACGCGGAAGGAAAACAACUAGAGGCCUACUAGCUAACGUUAGCUAUCCUGUUAGCUAGUUUGUGGCAACAAGACACCCUCAGGAGUCCGUCUUGUUUGAGAAGAAACAACACAUUUUUCAGUGCUCCAUCAUCAUGGCUGAUGACUUUGAUAUAGAAGCAAUGCUUGAGGCUCCGUAUAGAAAGGAUGAGAUCAAGCCCAGUAGUCCCAAUGGCCAUGAGGAGCGCAGCAAGAAGAAAAAGAAGAGCAGGAGCCGAAGCAAAGACCGGAAGAGAAGCAAGAGCCGUGAUCGCAAGAAGAGCCAUGACCACAAGAGGAGCCGCAGCCGCGAGCGAAAGCGGAGCCGCAGCAAGGAGAGGCGCCGGAGCCGCACUCGGAGCAGAGAGCGCAGCGGCCGCUACAGGGACCACAAGACUACCUUCUCUGGGCCGAAAUUUAACGGUGGUUCCAGAGGGAAGAUUGGCCCUCCACCUGUCAUCAAGCUAAGCCGAAGGCGUUCCAGAAGCCGAAGCCCUUUCAAGAAAGAGAAGAGUCCUGUGAGGCAGCCAAUUGACAACCUGACUCCAGAGGAAAGGGAUGCUCGCACUGUGUUUUGCAUGCAGCUGGCAGCCAGAAUCCGUCCACGAGACCUGGAAGAGUUCUUCUCUGCAGUGGGAAAAGUGAGAGAUGUGCGCAUGAUCUCUGACAGAAAUUCGAGGAGGUCGAAGGGAAUAGCUUACAUUGAGUUUGUGGAGGCCAACUCUGUGCCGCUGGCUAUAGGAUUGUCUGGUCAGCGACUUCUGGGGGUGCCAAUCAUUGUUCAGGCCUCGCAGGUAAUGGCUGAAAAAAACAGGGCUGCUGCCAUGGCCAACAACCUGCAGAAGGGCAACGCUGGCCCGAUGAGGCUCUACGUCGGAUCCUUACACUUUAACAUCACAGAGGAGAUGCUGAGAGGAAUUUUUGAGCCUUUUGGAAGGAUUGAGAGUAUUCAGCUCAUGAUGGACAGUGAGACUGGAAGAUCUAAAGGAUAUGGCUUCAUCACUUUCUCGGACGCAGAGUGUGCCAAGAAGGCCCUGGAGCAGUUGAACGGGUUUGAGCUGGCCGGCCGGCCCAUGAAGGUGGGCCAUGUCACGGAGCGCACAGAUGCCUCCACCGCCAGUUCAUUCCUGGACAGCGACGAGCUGGAGAGGACGGGCAUUGACCUAGGCACCACCGGGCGCCUGCAGCUCAUGGCCAGACUGGCUGAAGGCACGGGACUGCAAAUUCCUCCAGCCGCACAGCAAGCCCUACAGAUGAGUGGGGCCAUUGCUAUUGGUGCCAUGGCUGCUGUAUCAGCUGCCAUGAAUCCUGCUAUGAACAUGAACAUGAAUAUGAACAUGAAUACAGCUAUGAACUUGCCAUCCCAGCCACUUGCUACACACUGUUUCCAGCUGUCUAACAUGUUCAACCCUCAGUCUGAAGAUGACCCAGGCUGGGAUGUUGACAUUCAGCAUGAUGUCAUUGAGGAAUGCAACAAACAUGGAGGAGUUGUGCACAUAUACGUCGAUAAGAAUUCCACUGAAGGCAACGUGUAUGUGAAAUGUCCAACCAUUCCUGCUGCCAUGGCUGCAGUAAACGCAUUACAUGGUCGAUAUUUUGCAGGUAAGAGAACUGACUGACUGGUACUCGUUAUACACUCACCGGACAGUUUUUUUUAUUUUUAGGUACACCCAUCUAGUAAUUGUGUCGCAUCCCCCUUUGUCUCCAGAACAGCCAGAAUUUUGGGGGGCAUUGUACAAGGUGUCGGAAACCGUCCACAUGGAUGUUUGUCUGUGCUGACGCGAUGGCAUCAGUUUCUGCAGAUUGGAUGGUGGUACAUUCAUGCUGCAAACAGUCUGUUCUAUCUCAUUCCAAAGGGGCUCUAUUGGGUUGAGGUCUGGGAACUGUGCACGCCACUGAAGUAAACUGAACUUGCUGUCAUAUUCCAGGCAAUGUUUUCCCGCUCAAUUGUCCAGUUUUUGUGAACAUGUGCAUUUUAGCUGAUAGGAGGGGAACCCGGUGUGGUCUUCUGCUGCAAUAGACCAAGCAAGGAUCGACGAGUUGUGUGUAUCGAGAUGCCUUUCUGCACACCACUGUUGUACUGCGCUGUUAUUUGUCCAAUUGUGGCCCGCCUGUUAGCUCACACGGUUCUUGCCAUUCUCCUUCGUCCUCUCAUUGAGCCGUUUUCACCCACAGGACUGCCGUCGACAAUGUCUUUUGUCGUGUGUGAAAAUCCCAGGAGGCUGGUCGUUUCUGAGAUACUGGGUCCGGUAAAAUGAUCACAGCAGCAUACGUCCCUCUCCCGACAUAUCACAACCUUUUUCCUGAUUCUGUGACGGCUACCCAGCUCCUGAUCCCUCCUGCUCGCCGAUGAUCUCACAGCGAGACACAAACUGAUUUGUUGGACACUGUAUAAUUGAUUAUUUUCUCUUUUUAAAAGUUUGACAUUUUAUUGUCGAUGGUCUGUUUUUCAUUCCUGCAAGUUAUGGCAGUAUGUUUUUCUUUUGUUAGUAGAUUAAGUAAGAUUUUAUUUUUUUCAGUACAUUUAUUUUUUGCUGAGACUUUCCUUAUGUUGGUGGUGAAAAGAAUCAAAGCUUUAUUUGCAUAGCCACAUCCAACAGUGUUGGUGGAGUUUCAGCCAGUCUAAUAAAGGGAUUAUAGUCCCUGAAGAGUUUGUUGGUGGAGUUUCAGCCAGUCUAAUAAAGGGAUUAUAGUCCCUGAAGAGUUUAUUGGUGGAUCUGGACAAUUUACCAUUUUAUCUUUUGUAAAAUGUAUUCUUGUUCAUACAUUGUCUUGUGUUUGAUCGCUUUGAUGGGCAUGUUUUCCCUGAAGUGUACAACUUAAGACACCCAGACACAAGAAAAGAGGAUAUUGAUUAUUUUUGGAGAAAAAAUACAAUUCGAACAUUGCAGUUUCAAUUAUACAUCAGAAUAUUAUUCAAUGUUUUAAGCUCCAUGAGCUCUGAAAACGUAAUGACUGAUUUCAGUUGUGCUCAUUUAGAGACAUUUGGUUUUUCAGUAUCUGUUUUCUAAUCAAGAUUUGAUUUUGUAAAGACCUUGAUUAAAAUGUAUUUUAAAGUCA